AACGAACGCUGGCGGCAUGCCUAACACAUGCAAGUCGAACGAGACCUUCGGGUCUAGUGGCGCACGGGUGCGUAACGCGUGGGAACCUGCCCUUAGGUUCGGAAUAACUCCCCGAAAGGGGUGCUAAUACCGGAUAAUGUCUUCGGACCAAAGAUUUAUCGCCUUUGGAUGGGCCCGCGUUGGAUUAGCUAGUUGGUAGGGUAAAAGCCUACCAAGGCUACGAUCCAUAGCUGGUCUGAGAGGAUGAUCAGCCACACUGGGACUGAGACACGGCCCAGACUACUACGGGAGGCAGCAGUGGGGAAUAUUGGAAAAUGGGCGAAAGCCUGAUGCAGCAAUGCCGGGUGAGUGAUGAAGGCCUUAGGGUUGUAAAGCUCUUUUACCCGGGAUGAUAAUGACAGUACCGGGAGAAUAAGCACCGGCUAACUCCGUG
rnacentral:rRNA from 1 species